rnacentral:tRNA from 1 species
GCCGGGAUAGUCUAGUGGUUAUGACGUCUGCCUUACACGCAGAAGGUCGCGGGUUCGACCCCCGCUCCUGGUA